CGAGCUCGAGGUGCUUUGUUCUUGCUUGUUCUUCCAUUGUUCUUGCUUGUUAGUGCUCUCAUCUCCCACGAUCGAUCCAUUUCAACGCUUCUACGCCGUCGUCGAUUUGUUUGAAAGAUAAUGGCACGCCAUUGGAUGUACAAUGCUGAGAAGAAAGAAUACAUGUGUGAGACUCAAUGAAAAAAGACGUGGCACUCUAUCAAGACAUAAUAGACAUGAUCCAGAGGGCUUUUGCUUGGCUACAACAAAAAUAUCGUACGGAUCUGAAUGUCUCACUUCCUCCUCCAGUUCUACUCCCUUGGGUGCCCACGCAGCCGUUUGGAACGAAU